rnacentral:rRNA from 1 species
GACGAACCGUCCAAACGUUAUUCGGAAUCACUGGGCUUACAGAGUUCGUAGGCGGUCUGGAAAGUUGGGUGUGAAAUCCCUCGGCCUAACCGAGGAACUGCGCUUGAAACUACCAGACUCGAGGGAGAUAGAGGAAAGCGGAACUGAUGGUGGAGCGGUGAAAUGCGUAGAUAUCCGGAGGAACACCGGUGGCGAAGGCGGCUUCCUGGACCGACACUGACGCUGAGGCGCGAAAGUGUGGGGAUCAAACAGG